rnacentral:misc_RNA from 1 species
GUGAUUAUGGCAUGCAAUCGUGCUGAUUAUUUGGAAAGGACUAUUAAGUCUGUAUUGAAGUAUCAAAGCUCUAUUGCUUCAAGGUAUCCACUUUUUGUAUCCCAGGAUGGAUCCAACCCAGAUGUUAGAAGCAAGGCUUUGAGUUAUGAUCAACUAAUGUACAUGCAGCACUUAGAUUCUGAACCAGUGCAGACAGAAAGGCCUGGAGAGUUGAUUGCAUACUACAAGAUUGCACGGCAUUACAAAUGGGCAUUGGAUCAAUUGUUCUACAAGCAUAAAUUCAGUCGAGUGAUCAUACUUGAAGAUGAUAUGGAGAUUGCUCCUGAUUUUUUCAAUUACUUCGAGGCUGCAGCAGCUCUUCUUGAUAAAGACAAGUCCAUUAUGGCUGUUUCCUCAUGGAAUGACAAUGGACAAAAGCAAUUUGUGUAUGAUCCGUAUACACUUUAUCGGUCAGAUUUCUUUCCUGGACUGGGAUGGAUGCUUACUAGAUCAAUGUGGGAUGAACUAUCCCCUAAAUGGCCAAAAGCUUACUGGGAUGAUUGGUUGAGGUUGAAAGAGAAUCGCAAAGGUCGACAAUUUGUUCGUCCAGAAGUGUGCAGGACAUAUAACUUUGGUGAGCAGGGUUCUAGUUUGGGACAGUUUUUCAAACAAUAUCUUGAGCCUAUUAAGUUGAAUGAUGCCCAGGUUGACUGGAAAUCGAUGAAUUUGAGCUACCUGAUGGAGGACAACUAUACAAAAUACUUUGCCAACAUUUUGAAAAACGCAAAAGCUGUACACG